rnacentral:lncRNA from 1 species
UGCGAUGUCGCGAAACCCGGACCUCGACGAUAGAGGCGUGCGGAUUGUAGUCGCGCGGCGCCGAAAACGCCGUGGAGCGCAGAGCUUGGCUAUACUGCAUAUUGUACAGUGGGGAGAACUUUAAGUCCUUGGGCUGGCGACGAAGGCAGCAAGGCAUUUCGGCUUAUGAGGCACUCUCGAAGGAGAAUGUUUGGCAAGACGGGAGACACUAAGCUUAGGUGACGUCACCUCGUAUUUGGGGUUUGCUCGUUGGGGACUCGGGAGUCCGCGAGGGGUUCGUACAGGCCAAGGGCGUUAGCUUUUUCGCCACAAAAUCCGCCGCGCGCUCAAGUGUCGCCCACAACCGAGCCAGCCUUCUCGAGCCCUUCACGGCGGACAAGUCUCCACCACUUAACGGCAGGAAUACCAAUCCAAGCAUGUUUGCCAAGCUUGCUCUCCCAGUAUUACAGCCGCACCCUUCGCCUGUAAUCAACCCCUGUCGGACCUCCUCGAGUUCUCCAUACGAGCAACCCCAAAUACCGAGCGUUGUUGCAAGCUAGGUGUCUCCCUGUCUUGCCAACGGAGAUCUCUCUCACGAGUGCCUCAUAACGAAUGCCUUGCUGCCUUUUCGCCAAGCCCAAGGUAAUUACAAGUUCAUCCCCCCAACUUGUUACAUAUGAGUAUACGCCAAGCGUCUCGCCUCCCACGCGGUUUUCGCUCCCCCCGGCGACAAUCCGCACGCCUACUAGCCGUCGAGCGUCGGCGGGCUUCGCGACAUCGCAUGCCCACGAAGGGGGGACCACUCAAUAACCAUAAAGUUCCUCACACGUGUUCUCAUUGCGCCGACAACGCAUGCCUACGGCCUAUGCGCGCCGUCGCUGCUCGGUCAACGGCUUACUCCAAAAAGCACCCAAGUGUGCGCUCACACCGCUUGCCCCCAACAUCAGCACCUCAGCAAUGACACCCCAGUCACGGUCCGCUUCGCCACCUCCGUGCUUCGCAUCUACGCGCGUGGCGGCCCUCGUGUCCCAUCGCUCCCUGAAUAGGGACACCAACAAGUCCAGCACGUGCUUCUCGACCGUCUAACGACCUUCGUUCUGCCCGGCCGCUCCGGCCCUUCGAUUCCAUAGGUUCGCGCUCAUAAGCCCAUACAACGAACUGGCCUCGCUCCGCAUCGCUAGCCAAGGCUGGCCCCGUCCUUGCUCGAUCCACGCCUUGGCGCUUACACGAGCUGGUCCCAGUCUCUCAAGGUUCACUAUACGGAUAACCGAAGCUUGCCUCCUUGGUUCCGCCCCGUCGAGUCUCGUAGGUUUCACCUUACCGAAUUCUCACUCGGCGUGCUACCUUUAGCGUCCCUAUCGAGUUCGUCCUCCUUGGCCUUCGUGGGCGCCGCCCCCACGAAAUCCCCGGCUCGGCACACCUUGCCUUCGCGAGCCUUGUCCUUUACGGAGGGACCGUACCGGUCGUAGACUAUCCUCAUCCGCUCGUACGCUCCACUACAAGGAUCCAGCGGCCUAAGGUAGUCGCACUGCGAACCUAGGAAGAAAGCCUCCCGGUAUUCCCUCGGCUCCGUAAUGUCGUCGACACUCGUCCAGUCUCCGACAUUUACCCAGCCGUGAAUAUUCCCCUUCAACCGUCCAUUAACCGGCUACACGGAACGCUAGGCUUGGCUACUCCGCUAGCCAGGACGACCCAUGUCCUAUGGGUCGAGGGGGAGUCGGGGCCACUUACGAAGUGUCCCACCCCUCCUCUAAUACCGCUUACGAGGCAUCCACUCCUUUGGCACCCCGGGGGUACAAAGGUGCUCACCGAGGGGUACGUUUUCCAACCCGCAUGCGGCAUCCUAUUUCCAAGUCAUGGCACGGGCCAUUGCUAGGGAAUUGCCUCCGUUAGACUUGACAGCGAUCCUACCUGACGGAACGCCUCAACUCCGCAACUCCAUAACUUCGUCAACCCAAGUGCCUAACCAAAUAUGCCCAAAGGUGUCCACGGUCGAGACCCAGCGAUCGACCGUGACAGCUCCCCACUUGAAUCAUCGACUCCUCGUCGAUGCUUUAAACUUCUUCAAACUCUUUGCGCAGCAGUACUACUCUUCAGACCAGAGCCACCCACGGCCUUGGCAAUCGCAUGCCACGCUGACGCUGCCCUCCAGAGUUCGUCUGCUCAACAACGCUUCUGAAAAGCCCAUUGGUCCUCCUCGACCAUCCAUCUCAUAUACAUGUUCUGUCCCUCCCUGAGUUAGAGCUCCCCAGCCUUGGUGCCUCGCUCGCACCACGCUAACUCCUCCACGGAACCAGAACUGAAACUCAUAAUCCCUCGGAUUGCAAGGUUGUACUGGCACUCCUCCAUAACUUGGUUCUCUCCAUCGGAGCUACUCGGCCUCAACGCCCACUUCGCCCUGACUUAACCAAAGUUCCCUGAGUCCAGUAGCCAACCUUAUAACUCCUUCUCAAGGAAAUAGUCCUCCGACUAACUUUCCCUCUCUGGGAUUCAAGGUCAUAUAUCCAUCGACCUUGGACUUGGGGUUAGACUCCAAACGUCCCUCGUCUUGGAGUUCUCCACGCGAAUCAGCACGCUGCUCGUCUUCGCCUUUGCCCUUUACCAUAACAUCAGGUUUCGUGCCUCUCCUUAAGCACCUACGACAGAUCCUCGAUCCGACGUUCCCAGCCUUAUACGGCGAGUCCUUCCACUCGACUCCCGAUCUCAUCGGCGGUGAGUUCCUCCACUCGAACUCCCGCUCACACAUACGGCGAGUUCCUUCACUCGAACUCCCGUCCUCAUAUGCGACGAGUUCCUCCACUCGAACUCGCGCUCCAAUGUAUUAAAGUUUGUCUUAUUGAAUCUUAUAGGUACAACUCUCGUGGGUACUCAUGCCAUACUCGUGCCCUCUCCGCAAACAACUUUUGCCACCCCCAAUGCCUCCACAAUCGCACAACGUCGAGCUCCACCCCUGGUCUCCUCAAGCUUUCAAGACUUUCGUCGGGACUAGCCGGCCUCGACUACUUUCUGCUCUACUGACUUUACCACGGACCCUUGUUAUGCCUCCUGACUGCUUUGCAUUUCGGCUACUUGUUGAUGCACGGCACCUUUAGCCUUUGUCCCACAAACCCGCUCAAGCCCUACUUCGUUAGGCUCUCGCAGAAUUCCACUUCGAUUCGCAAUCAAAGUGUUCGGCCAAGUUCGAGCCUAUCGGACCCCUUGUCUCUUUUCGCUCGCAACUUGCCAUAUUCCAACUCUAGGGAAACCACCCUCAUGGUUGAUCGCUAAGCGGAACUCAGUUCACUCUCUGCUUAGUCUGAACCGCAAGUCUGGUUGCCACGGCAAUGCCGCUACCCUGCGCGCACCACCCUUACAGAACUUCGAUACCUCGACCCUUCCCGCAGUUGCGAACUGUCCAUACUCCAACCAGCACCAUGAUCUCGGGUGAAUCCACACACCGCUCAACCCGACUAGGGAUGUCUCAUCCGUCCAACUCGUGGGCACAUUGUAAAGAGCAACCGAUCUCCACACCGGCCUUCUCGCACCAAGAGGAGUGCUAAGCUCUCUCGCAAUCCUUGGUCCCCUUCACAACUUAGUCCAACGUCUAGCUGUUACUACCAUGGAUUCGUCGGCCUAGACUUCCAACUUGAGCUCCACGAAGCAAACUCUUUUACCACAUGUGUUGUAUCCCACUUCCUGUCAUAGACGAGCUCCUUUACCGAGUCUUUGCGCAUGGGAGCACUUAAUGAACAAACGUGCUCCCCCACUCUGAGUCGCUCCACCACCAAGCGCACUCAGAUCUCACAGGCAUUCUCAAUGCCCCACCUUCCGCUCUGCUAGCUCCGACUCUGCCACAGCCUUCACUAUUCCCGCAAGCGAAACCAAUGUCAUCCAUCCAAUGGAUACAUGUAUGCUACCUCGAGCCACCAACGCUGUCACCGUUCUGCUCGAAGCUAGACUUACCACCUCACUCCGCGAGUUAAGGUUCCAACCUCAAUCCAUUCUCUCGCACAAAGAUGCCGUCUCUUUCCAUUUCAUGGACACACCCCAAAGAGUCAUCGAUCUCCCCAUCGAUCUUCCUUUACCGAGAGAGAAGUACUGGUCCAUCGAGUAGCCCUUUGGUAUUCCCGCAACUUUGGUCGAAGCUGCUCCCAACGAAGACUACUGCCCGUCAGACUUCAAACUCAGCAUACACGAAGUAAACUCUUUCGCCCAGUGUUUCACCGCCCAAUCCAUAUCCUUUCGAGAAGCACCAUCGUCGAGGAUUCACAUUUGGGGAUACAUCUCCACCUUAUGUACUCCCCCCACACUGAGUCGUAGCACCUCUGCACAACUCAGGUCUCUCGGGCAUUCGCAAUACCCAACUCCGCGGCAAAUCCAACCACGGACCGCAAACUGAUUCUUCAUAAUCAUUGCCCCAUCGUCUGCCACACGACUAAGGCCUUAACCAUUUCUCCAUCCUGAGAAUGACUUGGAAAUCCUCACAGGGUACCGACAUGAACUUGGCUUUCACCCCACCACGAGUCCACACCAACAGGCACCUCCCCCGCAAGACCCGCAAUAGUCUGGGCCUCCGAGCUCCUCGCUGUUAUCUGACUCUCAUCCAUGCGUAGUGCAAGUCCGAACCACCCGGCUUCACUCACCGCAAAGAAUUCGUGGGUAGCACCAAUAUCCAUCACAACUCAACUCCGCAUCUCUCACAAGCGAAGUAUUGUCCCAAUGCAUUGUCGGCUCCAAGUCCUUCCGUCAGAGUGACUCUGCUCACUCCAACGUCGCCGCCAAGGUCGCACCUUUCGGCCAAACUUCCGUCCCAAAUGAGCUCAACAUAGCUCUGAUACCACCUGUUUGUUUCCGUACUUCAUGUCGGUUACGAUAUAUUUUCUGCGGUUUCACUGGAAAACGCAGAAGCAUAUCCCUAUAUGCUUUUUACUUUUUUUCUCAACUCCAUUUUAUCUAAUAGCGUUAGAUAGACCUCAAUACCAAGCUAAGCCUAAGUCAAGGGCACAAAAGAUAUUUUGACUUUUGAUCUUUUUUAAAUAUAUCCCUCUACCGUCACCAACAUUUCUUAUUUGCCCUUAAGUUAAGGACAAAAUUGACAUUUUAAUUUUUUUUAACUAUAAUAGAUAUUUAACUCAUAUUUAACCCAAAUUAACUUCACCCGUCGUAAUUGUAAGAAUAUUUUAGAAUAACAGAGAAACAUACAAAAAAUAUAUUGAAAAAAAUAAAAAUAAAAAUAAAUGAUAUAUUUUUAAAGUUAUGAAAAAUAUAUAAUUUUUUUUUAGGGCGUAAAACCCCCCAAACUAAUUAGUUCCCGAGAUCAUGCGCAUAAAAUUUUUGUCGUGCAACAACACAUGCCUCCGGGGAAUCCGGAGUCAGCGGUAAUUUCACCUUCAGUCAUAGUGAGUGUGUGACGCGACUCACAAUCGGGGAUCUUCUAGAUCGUUCGCCAGGGGGGACACCGCGUCGCCUCUCGAACGUUCCCUCCCCGCCUAUUAAUCCCUCUCCGUCCCUCCUGUCCCCGACCAAACCCUAGAAAAAAAAAAAAAGGGGCAUUCGGAGAGAACGAAGGAAAGCGUCGGUGAAUCUAAUGGCGGAUUCGGCCCUGUUCGACACGGCGGUGAGCCACCUCUUCCACCUACCGGAGACGCUCGAGAGGCUCGUGUUCCCCUCGCCGCGNAUAUAUAUAUAUAUAUAUAUAUAUAUAUAUAUAUAAAAAAUAGAUUUUAUCUGCAGCAAAAGUAGAAGCACUAAAUUAGAGCGUCUACUCUGAGUUUGCGUCUACUCUAGGUCUCAGACUAUUUUUCAAUCCAGCCGCAGCAUAAGUACCAUUUUGUUUUUUAAUUUUUGUUAGAAUGUAAAUGCAAUGUAGGCGAAACGCGUUAUCCUAAAACAUCAUCCUUAGGAAGGACUAACAAUUCAAACUAAAAUUCAAACUCGAACAUAAAUUAUCUGGAGAUAACUUACUCUGACAUCCAAUACUUCUCCGUAAGAGACACGCCAGGGAUACAAUGUAUGGAUAUGCCCUAUACUAAUGUAAAAUUGCAAGUUGGUCCUUAUUAGCAGAGCCCAGUGAAACAUCGGAAUCAACCGGCCCGGACGAAGAAAGCCCAUCCCAAGCAAGCGCAGCCCAAUAAACUACUACGCUUGGGUUCAGAACGGAGAAAUGGGCAUAGGAUCAGCCCAGGCGAACUAUUACUGUUCUUACUAAAAAAAAUAAAAACAUAGAAAUAUAUGAAAAAAUAACACUAAUAACGCAACCUUAAACAAUUCAAAUAUUUGGGUCCGAUCACAAUUUAUAUAUCUAAAAGAGUUCUACUACUUUUCCCGUCUUCCCUGAAUACUGCUUUCUAAAAGACUAUUUAAUGCUUAUAAAUAAUGUAAUAGGAUAAAUAAAUAAUAUAAAGCUAUUUAAUUAAUUCAUACUGUAGGUCAAAAUAAUAAUAUGAUUAUUUUACAAAUUGACGUACAGGCGAUAGGUGAAGGUUAAAAAAAAGAAAAAAAAAAAAUCAGCAUCGAAUCCACUAGCCAACUGCAGCGAUAGGUGAAGGACCGGUCAAAAUAAAAUAGCCAAAAAAAAUAUAAAAAAAUAGAAUAAAAUCUCUUUUAUUCAUCCCCGCGCUCCAAGGAAACGGUUAUGUGAGGCAGAUCAACAGACAAAAAUUUUUUGAGCACAAUCCCCAUACUAAUAGUUUGGGACAGUGUGGAUGUACGCCACAUGGCCGAUCUGUCGGUUGCCCUUCUCUACUGCUUUCUCUCUCUCUCUCUCUCCCAAAACACAGGUUUUUUUUUUCUUUUUUUUUCUUUCAAUUGAUGGCUGUCGCGGAUGGACCACAUAGCAUCCAUAUGUAAAGUCUCCAAACGAAUUAAUUCGGGGAUCAUGUCUAUAAAAUUUUUGUAAUGGACAAUUUCUUAUAUAUUCCUUAAAAAUUUUCAACUUUCUGAUUUAACCAUCUUAGAAAGCUAAUAUUAAAAAUACUUUUUUUACGUUUUAACUUAUUUCAGAUAUAUCCCUAGAGUUAAAAUCUGUUAAUAAACUCUGUUAUCUGUAUAAAAUUACUAUUUUAUCCUUUCAAAUAUACACUUCCACCAUCAUCGGGCCUUAAGACUUCGUUUGGAAUUGCGGGGAGAUUACGUUACGUGCAGUGAGGUAGUCUCGCCUCCUUGGCCUUCGUGGCAUGCGAUGUCGCGAAACCCGGACCUCGACGCUAGAGGCGUGCGGAUUGAGUCGCGGGGGCGAAACGCGUGGGAGGCGAGACGCUUGGCUAUACUCAUAUUGUACAAGUUGGGGGAGAACUUGUAAUGUCCUUGGGCUGGCGACGAAGGCAGCAAGGCAUUCGGUUAUGAGGCACUCUCGAGGAGAGAUCGGUUGGCAAGACGGGAGACACCUAGCUUGGUGGCCAACCUCGGUAUUGGGGUUGCUCGUUG